AUUUGAGGCUAGGCGCGGUGUCUCACGCCUGUAAUCCCAGCACUUUGGGAGGCUGAGGCAGGCAGAUCAUUUGAGGUGGGGAGUUAGAGACCAGCCUGGCCAACAUGGUAAAACUCCAUCUCUACUAAAAAUACAAAAAUGUGCCAGGCAUGGUGCUGCAUGCCUAUAAUCCCAGUUCCUCAGGAGGCUGAGGCAGGAGAAUCACUUGAACCUGGGAGGGGGAGGUUGCAGUGAGCCAAGAUCACAUCACUGCACUCCAGCCUGGGUGACAGAGCAAGACACCAUCUCAAAAAAUAAUGAUGAGAAUGAUUUGAGACCUUUCUUCUUUUCUAAGAACCUUCCCAACUGGAGAUGUGAAACGGUCAUUCUCCAUCCACUCACCUGGUUUCCUGCCACAGAGAUAGAAGGCUAGUCUGUCCGUUAGCUCAUACUGUAUUUCCACGAGGCGCUCUGCCAGCUCAUGGUGCCCUCCUUGCCUACCAAGAGAAAACAAAGUACCAUUUAUAUUGCUCACUAUUCACUGACUUUAAAAUGGAGUACAAAGACGUCUCCUGAGACACCUGAGCAGUUUAUCACACAAGACUUUUGAGAAUCAUCAACCUUCUUGUGUGCUCUGUGAAAUAAUGAAGCACCAUGCAAUACUGUACUCCUG
rnacentral:lncRNA from 1 species